rnacentral:rRNA from 1 species
UACGAAGGGUGCAAGCGUUGCUCGGAAUUAUUGGGCGUAAAGCGCACGUAGGCGGCUUAGCAAGUCGGAAGUGAAAUCCCACGGCUCAACCAUGGAAGUGCUUUCGAAACUGCUGAGCUUGAGUACGAAAGAGGAUCGCGGAAUUCCCGGUGUAGAGGUGAAAUUCGUAGAUAUCGGGAGGAACACCAGUGGCGAAGGCGGCGAUCUGGGUCGAUACUGACGCUGAGGUGCGAAAGCGUGGGGAGCAAACAGG